ACAUACAUACCUAUAUCUAUCUACUCGUACCUACCUACUUUUUGAGCUCCUCACACAUUUGAUCAAUUGAUUUGCAUUGUAACAUCCCGUGUAAAAUUUCAGUAAAAAGCAAAUGAAUAUUUCCCACUUGUGACAAAAUAACGUUCCUGAUUUUGGUUUCGGUUUUGAGAAGUUUCUAUCGGUUUCUGGAGGGUUUCGGUUUCGGUUUUGGUUCUGGUUUUAUCCACUGCGAUUUGAUGCAUGUAGGGAGGGAUUUUAUGGACUAAGGAGCUUCAUUCCCCUGAUACUGAGUGAAGAAUUUCUAUUGGUUAGUAGAACGAUUCGUUAAAAAUUGAACCCAUGUACACACUGAAUAUUGAUAUUAGAAACGUUCUCGUAACGUUCUCGAAAAUCUCGCAUUGAGAAAUUUACGAUUACCUACACUGAUAUCUGAAGUUUUGAAACACUAUCUAUAUCCAAUUGAAUUCAAAAUAAAUACACAACAAUUUUUUUCAAUUUCAUAUCAUAAAGUUAAGAGUACCUCACGCAACUGGUUAAUUCGUGUACAUUGUAAACAUCCUGAGGAAAGUUUCAAUGGAUCAAAUUUGGCGAAAAAUAAAUACCGAGUUAUUUCAAAAAUUACGCGAGCUCCUCACACAUAAUAAAUCAACUCAUUUGAUAGCAGCAUCCCUUGGAAAACUUCAAUGAAUCGAAAUUGGUAAAAAAAUAAAUACGUCAAGGAGGUGAAAUUUCAUAUAUGAUAUCUAUUUUCUCUAAACCAACACAUCAGAAUGCUGACAAUUACCGUAUUCUUUUUAAUAUUCACUGUAACUUGGACAAACGUAAAAGCUGAAGAAACAAUGAACACAUGCAAAUUUGAGGACUGCUACAAAGAAUGCACGGAAAAGUUUGGUGAAUUUCGAGCGGGCAAUCAAGUAAUAGGCGUUUGUAAUAUAGCUGAACGGACUUGUGAAUGUUUCGAAUUUCAAAGACAGAAUAACAAUUCUCUGAAGCCUGAAAAAAACAGUUGAAAAAACGACUAUUACAUAGCUAUGGAAAAAAGUAGGUAUCAAUCAGUCGUGAAGAAUUUUUAUUGGUAUUAUCUCGGUUGAAAAAAGUUUUGGUAAAGCGCUUCAUGAAAAAUUAAACCCAUGUAGACUGAAAAUCGAUAUCAGAAACAUUUCGAAAAUUUAAUAUCAAGAAAUUUGUGAUUAUACUGAUAUUUAAAUUGUUGAUAAGUUAAUGAUUUUAAAAAUACAUACCUAAGUACCUACCUACUUUUUUCAAUUCCUCACUUCAAAAAUUACACGAGCUCCUCACACUACCUAAAUCAACUCAUUUGAUAGCAGCAUCCCUCGAAAAACUUCAAUGAAUCAAAAUUGGUAAAAAUAAACAAGUCAAGGUGGUGAAAUUUCAUAUGAUAAGUGUUAUCCAAUACCUCCAAAUUUAUUACAUUUCGUUCUCAAGCAUAUUCCUUGAGGAAAAAUAUCUAUUUUUCUCCAAACCAACACAUUACAAUGCUGACAAUUGCUGUAAUUUUUUUAAUAUUCACUGUAACUUGGACAAACGUAAAAGCUGAAGCAGCAAACGUAUGCAAAAUUGAGGACUGUUACAAAGAAUGCACGGGAAAGUUUGGUCGCUUUCGGUCGGGUAAUCAAAUAAUAGGCAUUUGUAAUAUACCUGAACGGACUUGUGAAUGUUUCGAAUUUCAAAGAGACAAUAACUAUUCUCUUAAGCCUUGAAAAAACGACUACAAGCUAUGAGAUAUGGAAUAAAUAAUGUAGCUGUAAAUUAAGAAAAACUGUCACGAGCAUUUCAGUACAAUACAGGUAUACGAAUACACUGAGAAAAAUGUAUAGUAUAAAUUACA